UGAGAGCUGGUGGACAAAAACACAAAUGAAUUUGAAUCAUUAGAAGGAACUAAAAAUUCCGCCCUCAA
rnacentral:tRNA from 1 species